rnacentral:rRNA from 1 species
AUUGAACGCUGGCGGCAUGCCUUACACAUGCAAGUCGAACGGCAGCACGGGAGCAAUCCUGGUGGCGAGUGGCGAACGGGUGAGUAAUAUAUCGGAACGUGCCCAGUGAUGGGGGAUAGCCCGGCGAAAGCCGGAUUAAUACCGCAUACGACCUACGGGUGAAAGCAGGGGAUCGCAAGACCUUGCGUCAUUGGAGCGGCCGAUAUCAGAUUAGCUUGNGGUGGGGUAAAGCCUACCAAGGCGACGAUCUGUAGCUGGUCUGAGAGGACGACCAGCCACACUGGGACUGAGACACGGCCCAGACUCCUACGGGAGGCAGCAGUGGGGAAUUUUGGACAAUGGGCGCAAGCCUGAUCCAGCCAUGCCGCGUGCGGGAAGAAGGCCUCGGUU